rnacentral:rRNA from 1 species
UACAGAGGUCUCAAGCGUUGUUCGGAUUCAUUGGGCGUAAAGGGUGCGUAGGCGGGUCUUUAAGUCAGGGGUGAAAUCCUGGAGCUCAACUCCAGAACUGCCUUUGAUACUGAAGAUCUUGAGUUCGGGAGAGGUGAGUGGAACUGCGAGUGUAGAGGUGAAAUUCGUAGAUAUUCGCAAGAACACCAGUGGCGAAGGCGGCUCACUGGCCCGAUACUGACGCUGAUGCACGAAAGCGUGGGGAGCAAACAGG